rnacentral:lncRNA from 1 species
GUAGCCCGCGGGAUGACCCGGUCCCCGCGCGUCCUGGGUGCGGCUCGGGCGCUCCCUGGCGGCUGCACGGGGCAUUGCAGCAGUCCCCGAAGAGCCUGGCGAUGGGAAAGGUCCGUCCCUGCAGCGCCCGCGUGGUGACACCAGCAGCAGCGUGAUAACCGCACCGCGAGCGUGUACCUGUCAACACGAGGGGUGAAGAAACCGAGGCUCAGGGACCCCUGAGAGCAGAGGGAAGGGACGUCAUUCUGCAGAGUGACCAGCAGGGGGCGAGCGGGACUGCUCUGUGGCUCCGAGGACCCAGCGGCAGGUGCACUGCUCUGAGAGUGAACGCUGCCUUACAUUUUGCACGGUAAAGCACCAUGACUCAGAGAAGGCAAGUGACUUGCCUAAAAUCACAGGGCCCACAGAGUCACAGCCAGAAUGCAAGCCUGGGCCCUCAGAUCUGGAGUAUGCCCUCUUCACCAUGGCUCCAGGCACCAAAACUCCAGGUAGCUUUGGAUUUUGUGCUAUCUGUGUUUUAUUUUCCUUAAUAUAUAUUUUAAACGGAC